ACAUUUGUAUUAUCAAGAUACUCAAGAUCCCAAUGAAGAUGCUCAUGAUCUCAAUGAAGAUGAUGAUUCGGGAAUGAGUUUUGAUUCCGUAGCUCUACAAAAUCUUGAUACUUGAAGACAAAAUGAAGAAGGGGAAGAACAAGACAAUAAGUUAAAGUAGGAAUAAAAGUGUACCAUGUGGGUAUGCCCACAUUUGUCAUGUGAGUGUUUACUUUAUCACUAUCCUCCAAAGAGGAAAAAACUGAUAAGCACGCGUUGUAUAUUGUGUCAAAGUUUGUGUCAAUAAGUGAAAAUAAUGCAUAUGCGAUGGGGCCCAAAUGUGUACCCGGCAUGAAUUAUUUGAACUUAUCGUUUCAAGAGUCGGCCACGUCUAGGCCACUACUUGCCACUACUUUUUAUUACUUUUUAUUCCACUAUCUUAGUGCGUUGGCCACGUUUGGCCAUUAGGAUGUAUGCUAAGACCUCCUCAACCUCUAUAUAAAGACACUCAUCCACACUUAAAAAAAGUAGAAAAGAAAAGAAAGAAAAACCAGAGAAAGAACACACAACAUAUUCUCCUUCCCAAUGUUCCAGA
rnacentral:lncRNA from 1 species